GACGAACGCUGGCGGCGUGCCUAAUACAUGCAAGUAGAACGCUGAAGGAGGAGCUUGCUUCUCUGGAUGAGUUGCGAACGGGUGAGUAACGCGUAGGUAACCUGCCUGGUAGCGGGGGAUAACUAUUGGAAACGAUAGCUAAUACCGCAUAAUAUUGACUAUUGCAUGAUAGUCAGUUGAAAGGUGCAACUGCACCACUACCAGAUGGACCUGCGUUGUAUUAGCUAGUUGGUGGGGUAACGGCUCACCAAGGCGACGAUACAUAGCCGACCUGAGAGGGUGAUCGGCCACACUGGGACUGAGACACGGCCCAGACUCCUACGGGAGGCAGCAGUAGGGAACCUUCGGCAAUGGACGGAAGUCUGACCGAGCAACGCCGCGUGAGUGAAGAAGGUUUUCGGAUCGUAAAGCUCUGUUGUAAGAGAAGAACGAGUGUGAGAGUGGAAAGCUCACACUGUGACGGUAUCUCACCAGAAAGGGACGGCUAACUACGUG
rnacentral:rRNA from 1 species